AACUGGUGCUCUCAGAGAGCGUAUGAGUGGCCCAAUGUCACACUACCUCUGGGUGUGUGCAUGUGGAGCCAGGAUUUGAUCCUGGGCAGAUCAAACCCCAAGUGCCACCAGGUGCAGUCGAUCACAUGCUGACCCCCCACUUUACUGAUGAGAAAACUGAGACCUAGAGAGGUUGAGUAACCUGUCCAAGACACCUGGAUGAUAAGCCGGACCCAGCCAACAAGCCCAGCCAGCUUGAUGCCAGAAUCCUCUUACCUGACCUCUGUGCCUGCCAUCCCAGCUGCUAGAGUGGAGAGCCGGCCUUUCCUCGCUGCAGGAUGGACCCUAGGCCUCUCUCUGGGUUUCCAGAUCCUGCUCUGAAGAGCCGGCCUUUCCUCGCUGCAGGAUGGACCCUAGGCGUCUCUCUGGGUUUCCAGAUCCUGCUCUGGAGAGCCGGCCUUUCCUCGCUGCAGGAUGGACCCUAGGCGUCUCUCUGGGUUUCCAGAUCCUGCUCUGGAGAGCCGGCCUUUCCUCGCUGCAGGAUGGACCCUAGGCGUCUCUCUGGGUUUCCAGAUCCUGCUCUGGAGAGCCGGCCUUUCCUCGCUGCAGGAUGGACCCUAGGCCUCUCUCUGGGUUUCCAGAUCCUGCUCUGGAGAGCCGGCCUUUCCUCGCUGCAGGAUGGACCCUAGGCGUCUCUCUGGGUUUCCAGAUCCUGCUCUGAAGAUGAGGAGAUGACAUUUAGCACCAGCCUUCUCUAACUGGCUCUAAGAGGAAUCGGUGUUCCCUGGUGGUUCAGGAGUCAAAAGGGCCAACUGUAGCUUUAUUCCUCUUUCAAAGGAAAUAAAGCAGAGGUCCUAUUUGGGGAUAGGCCCUAUGCCUGAGUUACUUUGGCACUUAAUUGCUAUUAUUUAAUUGCUGUAUUGGGGAGCACAAAGUGAUCUACUGCAAAGUUAUUAGCAAAUUCUAGUUUUAAGGAAAUAAUUACUGAAUUCUCCCUCCCUGGGUUGAGUAAUUCCUUCCAAGAUGCUCAGCGACAUUAAGCAUUUUCACUAGGGCCACUAGCAGCUCUGUAAUAUGCAAAUAAAGUAACUCUGUAAUUACCAAUAAAA